rnacentral:rRNA from 1 species
AGCGAACGCUGGCGGCGUACUUAACACAUGCAAGUCGAACGAGGAUCGCUACGUGAGCAAUCAUGCGGCGGUUCUAGUGGCGUACGGGUGAGUAACACGUGGGCAACCUGCCCUGGAGCCUGGGAUACCCUCUCGAAAGGGAGGCUAAUACCGGAUACGUUCCCCGGUCGCGAGAUCUGGGGAGGAAAGGUGGCGCAAGCUGCCGCUCUUGGAGGGGCUCGCGGCCUACCAGCUAGUUGGUGAGGUAAUGGCUCACCAAGGCUAUGACGGGUAGCUGGUCUGAGAGGACGACCAGCCACACGGGGACUGAGACACGGCCCCGACUCCUACGGGAGGCAGCAGUGGGGAAUUUUCCGCAAUGGGCGAAAGCCUGACGGAGUGACGCCGCGUGGGGGACGAAGGCCUUCGGUUGUAAACCCUGUCAGAGGGAAGAAGGGUGUCGGCGCGACUAACCGCCGGCACC